rnacentral:tmRNA from 43 species
GGGGCUGAUUCUGGAUUCGACGGGAUUUGCGAAACCCAAGGUGCAUGCCGAGGGGCGGUUGGCCUCGUAAAAAGCCGCAAAAAAAUAGUCGCAAACGACGAAAACUACGCUUUAGCAGCUUAAUAACCUGCUUAGAGCCCUCUCUCCCUAGCCUCCGCUCUUAGGACGGGGAUCAAGAGAGGUCAAACCCAAAAGAGAUCGCGCGGAUGCCCUGCCUGGGGUUGAAGCGUUAAAACUAAUCAGGCUAGUCUGGUAGUGGCGUGUCCGUCCGCAGGUGCCAGGCGAAUGUAAAGACUGACUAAGCAUGUAGUACCGAGGAUGUAGGAAUUUCGGACGCGGGUUCAACUCCCGCCAGCUCCACCA